rnacentral:rRNA from 1 species
UACGUAGGGUGCGAGCGUUGUCCGGAAUUAUUGGGCGUAAAGAGCUCGUAGGCGGUUUGUCGCGUCGUUCGUGAAAACUCACAGCUUAACUGUGAGCUUGCGGUCGAUACGGGCAGGCUAGAGUUCGGUAGGGGAGACUGGAAUUCCUGGUGUAGCGGUGAAAAUGCGCAGAUAUCAGGAGGAACACCGGUGGCGAAGGCGGGUCUCUGGGCCGAUACUGACGCUGAGGAGCGAAAGCGUGGGGAGCGAACAGG